CACACACACACCUACUACCUGCCCCCCACUGUUAACUAACACACACACACAGGAAAGGUCGCUGGUUCAAAUCCCCCCGCCGACUAAAGUGAAAAUCUGACAAUGUGCCCUUGAGCAAGGCAACUAACCACACUGGCUCCUGUAAGUUGCUCUGGAUAAGAGCGUCUGCUAAAUGACUCCAAUUUCAAAGUGUAAAUUCACUUCCUGUAGUAGAGCCGGAAUGACUGCCUCAUGAAUAUUCAGAGACGGACUGUUGAAUGACUGCCUCAUGAAUAUUCAGAGACAGACUGUUGAAUGACUGCCUCAUGAAUAUUCAGAGACAGACUGUUGAAUGACUGCCUCAUGAAUAUUCAGAGACAGACUGUUGAAUGACUGCCUCAUGAAUAUUCAGAGACAGACUGUUGAAUGACUGCCUCAUGAAUAUUCAGAGACGGACUGUUGAAUGACUGCCUCAUGAAUAUUCAGAGACAGACUGUUGAAUGACUGCCUCAUGAAUAUUCAGAGACGGACUGGUACACUCCAAGACAAAAGCUUUUUAAAUGCUGUAAAUGUUUUACUCGUAACCUACAAGAUGAACUGAUUUUAACUUUCACCUGCUCUGACGUUCGUGUCUGAGAAGCACAUUAUUUUCUGCUCUGAUAGGAUAGUCUGAUAGGUUAGUUUAAUACACUGCUCUGAUAGGUUAGUUUAAUACACUGCUCUGAUAGGUUAGUUUAAUACACUGCUCUGAUAGGAUAGUCUGAUAGGUUAGUUUAAUACACUGCUCUGAUAGGAUAGUUUUAUACACUGCUCUGAUAGGAUAGUCUGAUAGGUUAGUUUAAUACACUGCUCUGAUAGGUUAGUUUUAUACACUGCUCUGAUAGGUUAGUUUUAUACACUGCUCUGAUAGGAUAGUUUAAUACACUGCUCUGAUAGGAUAGUCUGAUAGGGUAGUUUAAUACACUGCUCUGAUAGGAUAGUUUAAUACACUGCUCUGAUAGGUUAGUUUAAUACACUGCUCUGAUAGGAUAGUCUGAUAGGUUAGUUUAAUACACUGCUCUGAUAGGAUAGUUUUAUACACUGCUCUGAUAGGAUAGUCUGAUAGGUUAGUUUAAUACACUGCUCUGAUAGGAUAGUUUUAUACACUGCUCUGAUAGGAUAGUUUUAUACACUGCUCUGAUAGGGUAGUUUAAUACACUGCUCUGAUAGGGUAGUUUUAUACACUGCUCUGAUAGGGUAGUUUAAUACACUGCUCUGAUAGGGUAGUUUAAUACACUGCUCUGAUAGGAUAGUUUUAUACACUGCUCUGAUAGGGUAGUUUUAUACACUGCUCUGAUAGGAUAGUCUGAUAGGUUAGUUUAAUACACUGCUCUGAUAGGAUAGUCUGAUAGGGUAGUUUAAUACACUGCUCUGAUAGGGUAGUUUAAUACACUGCUCUGAUAGGGUAGUUUAAUACACUGCUCUGAUAGGGUAGUUUAAUACACUGCUCUGAUAGGAUAGUUUUAUACACUGCUCUGAUAGGAUAGUUUAAUACACUGCUCUGAUAGGUUAGUUUAAUACACUGCUCUGAAGACUGUUGAUGCCAUUGGAGAUCCACAAACUGACUGUGGAAUGUUUUGGUUCCUGAU
ensembl:lncRNA